rnacentral:rRNA from 1 species
GAUUAAGGCUGGCGGCGUGCAUAACACAUGCAAGUCGAACGAUGAAACUUAAAUGAUUUCUUCGGAAUGAACUUAAGUGGAUUAGUGGCGGACGGGUGAGUAACGCGUGAGUAACCUGCCUUACACAAGGGGAUAGCCGUUGGAAACGACGAAUAAUACCCUAUGAAACUAUCACUUCGCAUGAAGCGAUAGUCAAAGUGUUAGCGGUGUAAGAUGGACUUGCGUCUGAUUAGCUAGUUGGUGAGAAAAAAGCCCACCAAGGCAACGAUCAGUAGCCGGCGUGAGAGAGUGUACGGCCACAUUGGGACUGAGGCACGGCCCAGACUCCUACGGGAGGCAGCAGUGGGGAAUUUUGCACAAUGGGGGAAACCCUGAUGCAGCGACGCCGCGUGAUUUAGAAGGCCUUCGGGUUGUAAAAAUCUUUUGUAUAGGAAGAAAAUGACAGUACUAUACGAAUAAGGUCCGGCUAAUUACGUG